GGUAGCCUACGGGGCGCAGCAGUGGGGAAUAUUGCGCAAUGGGGGCAACCCUGACGCAGCAACGCCGCGUGCAGGAAGAAGGUCUUCGGAUUGUAAACUGUUGUCGCAAGGGAAGAAGACAGUGACGGUACCUUGUGAGAAAGUCACGGCUAACUACGUGCCAGCAGCCGCGGUAAUACGUAGGUGGCGAGCGUUGUCCGGAUUUACUGGGCGUAAAGGGAGCGUAGGCGGACUUUUAAGUGAGAUGUGAAAUACUCGGGCUCAACUUGAGUGCUGAAUUUCAAACUGGAAG
rnacentral:rRNA from 1 species